rfam:Triticum urartu cultivar G1812 contig871711, whole genome shotgun sequence.
AAUGUACUCCCUCCGUUCCAAAUUACUCGUCGCAGAAAUGAAUGUAUCUAGAACUAAAAUACAUCUAGAUACAUCCAUUUCUGUAACGAGUAAUUCGGAACGGAGGGAGUACAUA